CACCUUCACGUAGAUUCUGCUCAGACCCGACCCCGUCACUCCACUAGCAGGUCUUUCACUGGAUCCCCAAAGGCUGCAGUCCAGUGCUCGAUGUCUUCCCUUGUGCUCUGCAACCUUAACAUCUCAAAAACGAAGCCUCCAUCGAGAAAUGGGAUAACAUCUUUAAGCGGGUGAAGAGGACUUCACCUAUGAUGGUGGUGGGUUUCGAAUCAGGCGUAGAAGCCAUUCGGGGAAAUGUUCCUUUCUGAGCAUCAUGCCUAACUUUGAAACGUGCCUUCAAUGAAACCCAUGCCAGGCACAUGAAAUGGAAAAGUAUUCGGCACCUUGGUUUUGAUUUUUGGUGAGACGAGGGAGAGGAAGGAUUGUCAGACAUGGAAGGGGCCCGAGGUUUCCCAUCUGUUGUUUAAAUCGUUACAUUGUGGAAUUAUAGGAGACUCUAAGCUUGUUUUUCUAAGUUUCCACCCUUUGUUAGAAGCGGUUCAAUCCUGUUUCGGACCAGUUCUGGGGGGUGGCGAGGAGGGGCGCUUGUGCAGCUCUCAGCAGAUUGGCUGCACGCGUCAGGUGGUGGCGAUGACUUAAUUCCCAGACCGAGAAGAAUAUAGUGUUAAAACUGGUUAUGUAAUUUUGUACUUCUCCUUUUUAAUGCGAUGUUUAGUUCCAAUGCGGGCUAUUUUCGAAAAGUAGAGCACAUUUUUUACCUUCAUUUUCAGUAUUAAAUAAUGCACAUGCCCGAGGAAGUGCUAGCUGAACUAAAGCAAGUGUAGAAAUAAAGGAUGCUUCCAGCCACAGCAUUCAUGCGCUGUUCUUAAAAAUAUUAAGAUGAAGUCAGUUCUUGAGGUAGGUUUUCAGUUGCACAGAGGGAAUUUGCAUCCUGACAUUAUUUCUAGUUCAUCUCUCCAAGCAGUAACGCUGAUGAGAAGCGCUAAUGCCUAGUGACAGUCGUCGUAUUUGUUGGAAAGCAUAGACAGGAGUUUGUUUGAACCUUUCUGGAUAUUGCAGCUUUUUAUACAAUGGUGGGAAGAGACAAAGGUUUUCAUAGAGUUGAGACUGUAGAGUAACGACUUGGGGACAAACACAAUUUACUAGCUGCUCCACGAUUUCGUGGUAAAAUAAACUGCGCCUUUUAACCCCACGAAGCACCCCUGAGCCUCUGCAAAGUGCAGACGAGCUCUGCGCCUGGAA